GGCAAGGUAGUAUAACGGUAGUACAACACGUUGUGGUCAUGACAUUGGUCCGUGUAAACCUGGGUUCGACUCCCAGCCUCGCCA